ensembl:lncRNA
CAAAAUAUGGAAAAGAGGAGAGAGGAGACAGAGCAGAGAUUAGAGGCUGGAAACAUUUUCACAGCAGUAUCUUGUCAGCUUUCCAGCACACUCUGGCUUAUUGAGAUCCAAACACUCACAGCUGGUGCAUAUUUUAAUGCCAAAUGACUGGCAUGGCUGAAAUUGGAAUUCACAGUCUCUCGAUGCUCUGUACUAGCACAUUUAGUCAGCACAUUACUUUGUGUGACUCUUCUAAAGUUACAUUUCAAUGAGGGCAUUUUCAUGGAGGCACUGUGAACUUGCAUGGGAGAGUAUAUGGUUUGGUGUGCCAAGUGUCUGAUUAAAAUUAGAAGUAAGAAAACAUGAAAAGCCCUGCUAAUUUACUGCCCUAAAAUUGUCAAUUACAGCAGUGCUAAGCAGUCUGGAAACAGCUCCUGUUCUUCCAAAAGCAGAACAGUGCUAACUCCAAGGCAAAAGAAAGAAGGGGAAAUGUUUGUCAACUCUAUCCAAUGGCUGGUCACAUAGUAAUUGGGAGAAUUUGCAACUGAACUCCUUACUAAAAUCACACGCAGCAGUGAUUUCCAGGAAUGCAGUGAUGUCCAGGAAGGCACUGAUGUCCAGGAAGGACCAUAUUCCAUGGUCUUUGGAGAGAUCUUGUCGUUACUUGCCUGCUGAAUUUAGGAUCUUUGUUACCUUAAUCCUAAAUAAAACUGCUCUUAAAACGUCAUUCAAGGCCCUUUUUCAGUAUUUGUUUACCCUGAGCUGUUCUGAGGUUCUUACAAGACAUGUACACCUUUGUGCAAGUGGAAAACAUGAUUUAUUUGUAUGUCUCCUGGAUUCUUCUGUCUUGACAUGCUCCUUGAUGCAGCCUUUGAUUAUUUCAACUUAUGAACAGUCAAGAGUCCAAUGUUAAGGAAUUAUUAUACAGCAAAAAUAAUAACAAAUGAAUGAGUAGAAUUUCAGCUGUGAUCCAGAUCAGUUCUACAGAUGACAGCAAAAGGGCAGUCUGACAAAACUGCGUCUGACAUGGAAGUGUUUAUGAAGAACCAGUAUGGAAUUGAAUUCCUCCAUGCAGAAAAAAUGGCGCCCACUGACAUUCAUUGACACUUGCUGUAGGAUGUGAGCACAGUGAGGGGUGGACGGUGCAUUUCAGCAAUGGUGACAGCGCCAUGAAAGACAAGCCACAUUCCAG